CUUCUCCUCACACUCCAACCCUGCUCACCUCUCAGCUGGACAGUAAGGGACGUUUACAGCACACACUGACAACAUGCUGGGGACCCUGUGCACUCUCAUCACUGCUCUAACAUGUGUGAGUGCUGUGACGCUGGUGACACAGAAGCCUCCUGUUGUGACUCUGAGGAGAGGAGAGACAGCCACCAUGGACUGUAACCUGGGGACUGUGACUAACAGUUAUGCUCUUUGGUACAAACAGAUUCCAGGAGGAGUUCCUCAGUUUAUUCUGAGCAACUAUCACAGCUGGAGCUCUCCAAGCUAUGGCUCUGGUUUCUCCUCUCCAAAGUUCACAUCCACUCAUCAGUCACAAACAGAUUAUCGUUUGAUCAUCAGCACUGUGGAGGAGAGAGACUCAGCAGUUUAUUACUGUCAGACACAUGACACCUCUGUUGAUGAGUUGGUAUUCGGACAAGGCACCAAGCUGAUUGUGACGAGCUCCAGCCUCUCUCCUCCUGUCCUCACAGUCUUCCCUCCGUCCAGUGCUGAGCUCCAGUCCAACAAAGCCUCUCUGGUCUGUCUGUCCUCUCAGUCUGUGCCUUUUGCAGAUGUGAGCUGGUCUGCUGCUGGGAGUCCAGUGAGCAGUGGAUCUCUACCAGCACGGCCGUUCAGCAACCAGACCAGACUUUCCAAAUCAGCAGCUAUC